UACGUAGGGUGCAGGCGUUAAUCGGAAUUACUGGGCGUAAAGCGUGCGCAGGCGGUUUCUUAAGUCAGAUGUGAAAGCCCCCGGCUUAACCGGGGAGGGUCGUUGGGGACGGCGGGGCUUGAGGGCGGGAGAGGGCGGUGGAAUUCCCGGUGUAGUGGUGAAAUGCGUAGAGAUCGGGAGGAACACCUGUGGCGAAGGCGGCCGUCUGGGCCGACCCUGACGCUGAGGCGCGAAGGCGUGGGGAGCGAACGGG
rnacentral:rRNA from 1 species